GACGAACGCUGGCGGCGUGCUUAACACAUGCAAGUCGAACGGAAAGGCCCUGCUUUUGUGGGGUGCUCGAGUGGCGAACGGGUGAGUAACACGUGAGAACCUGCCCUUGACUUUGGGAUAACUUCAGGAAACUGGGGCUAAUACCGGAUAGGAGCUCCUGCUGCAUGGUGGGGGUUGGAAAGUUUCGGCGGUUGGGGAUGGACUCGCGGCUUAUCAGCUUGUUGGUGGGGUAGUGGCUUACCAAGGCUUUGACGGGUAGCCGGCCUGAGAGGGUGACCGGCCACAUUGGGACUGAGAUACGGCCCAGACUCCUACGGGAGGCAGCAGUGGGGAAUAUUGCACAAUGGGCGGAAGCCUGAUGCAGCAACGCCGCGUGCGGGAUGACGGCCUUCGGGUUGUAAACCGCUUUCGCCUGUGACGAAGCGUGAGUGACGGUAAUGGGUAAAGAAGCACCGGCUAACUACGU
rnacentral:rRNA from 1 species